CCGCCCGUAAACAAGGGCUCACAAUGCCCGUCUUUCCUCCGAGAGCCGGCUCCUCUCCUGGCCUGGUCCCCUGGGUCCGCGGCCUGCCCUGUCCCUCGUCCUCGCCCGAGUCUGUCACUGAAAGGCCAGCACUGCUUCCUCAGGGAAAAGCCCGGUCUUUUGCAGAUUCUUUACCAGCUGAGCCACAAGGGAAGCCCUUUACCUCUCAGUAAUUCAAGUCUGGAUCUUUCGGGGAAAUACUGCUCCAAGAGUGGAACACGGACCACCGUUGGUCAGCAAACAACUCGUUCCUGACCCAGGACAAGGUCAGAAAUGGAGAGGAAAUGUUUAGAAACCUUCAGAACUGUUUAACAGGGUGAUUUUAUGUGAGUUGCAUCUAAUACGAAUAAUACAAGUUUGAACUUGUAUACGUUCAUUUUGUGGUUCAUUUUUCUAGUGAUCAAAUUGUCUUAUAUUGUAUGUAAG
ensembl:lncRNA